GGGGUGAUCGACCAUCGCAGGGACCCAGCUGCUGGAGCUCAUCCGUCAUAGAAGCUUGUCCGAAAUCCAUCCGCUGGAGAAGUUCGGAUGGGAUCCGGUGCUUGCGAGAGGUCGAAAGGGGGCCGUUUGUUGUAGGAGCUCGGGCGAGGACUAGUUGUCAUGAAAAAUCAAAGUGUUGUAGAAGUUCAUUCGAAAUCUCCUCGCUACGGAGUAGCUCGGCUGAGGUC
rnacentral:lncRNA from 1 species